UGCAAGUCGAGGGGUAACGGAAGUAGCUUGCUACUAGACGACGACCGGCGCACGGGUGAGUAACGCGUAUGUAAUCUGCCUUGUACAGAGGGAUAGCCCAGAGAAAUUUGGAUUAAUACCUCAUAGUAUUACUGGAUCGCAUGAUUUGGUAAUUAAAGCUCCGGCGGUACAAGAUGAACAUGCGUGACAUUAGCUAGUUGGUAAGGUAACGGCUUACCAAGGCUACGAUGUCUAGGGGUUCUGAGAGGAUGAUCCCCCACACUGGUACUGAGACACGGACCAGACUCCUACGGGAGGCAGCAGUGAGGAAUAUUGGUCAAUGGACGCAAGUCUGAACCAGCCAUCCCGCGUGAAGGAUGACUGCCCUAUGGGUUGUAAACUUCUUUUAUAUGCAAAUAAACCUACUUUCGUGAAAGUAGCUGAAGGUAGCAUAUGAAUAAACACCGGCUAACUCCGUGCCAGCAGCCGCGGUAAUACGGAGGGUGUAAGCGUUAUCCGGAUUUAUUGGGUUUAAAGGGUACGUAGGCGGUAAUAUAAGUCAGUGGUGAAAUCCUGCAGCUCAACUGUAGAACUGCCAUUGAAACUGUAUUACUUGA
rnacentral:rRNA from 1 species